rnacentral:misc_RNA from 1 species
CAUUACACAAUUAAAAUAUGAAGGCUUCGGCUGGAUUAUUUUUAUCACCCUUGUCUUUUGCGCACUUGUUGUUUCCUGGGCGGGUUCGCCCGCCACCAGGACCACACCAUAAACCUUUUUUAUGCAGUUGCAAUCAGCGUCAGUAUAACAAAUGUAAAUCAUUUACAACUUUCAACAACGGAUCUCUUGGUUCUGGCAUCGAUGAAGAACGCAGCGAAAUGCGAUACGUAGUGUGAAUUGCAGAAUUCAGUGAAUCAUCGAAUCUUUGAACGCACAUUGCGCCCUUUGGUAUUCCAAAGGGCAUGCCUGUUCGAGCGUCAUUUGUACCUUCAAGCUUUGCUUGGUGUUGGGCGUCUUUUUGUCUUUGGCCUCGCCCAAAGACUCGCCUUAAAACGAUUGGCAGCCGGCCUACUGGUUUCGCAGCGCAGCACAUUUUUGCGCUUGCAAUCAGCAAAAAGGACGGCAAUCCAUCAAGACUACAUUUUUACGUUUGACCUCGGAUCAGGUAGGGAUACCCGCUGAACUUAAGCAUAUCAAUAA